GUGAGGAAUAUUGGACAAUGGAUGGAAAUCUGAUCCAGCCAUGCCGCGUGCAGGAAGAAGGUCCUAUGGAUUGUAAACUGCUUUUGUACGGGAGCAAUAAGGGCUAUGCGUAGUUCGAUGAGAGUACCGUACGAAUAAGGAUCGGCUAACUCCGUGCCAGCAGCCGCGGUAAUACGGAGGAUCCGAGCGUUAUCCGGAUUUAUUGGGUUUAAAGGGUGCGUAGGCGGUUCAAUAAGUCAGUGGUGAAAGUUUUCGGCUUAACCGGAAAAUUGCCGUUGAUACUGUUGGGCUUGAAUUUGGUUGCUGUGAGUGGAAUGUGUGGUGUAGCGGUGAAAUGCUUAGAUAUCACACAGAAUAUCGAUUGCGAAGGCAUCUCACAAAGCCAAUAUUGACGCUGAUGCACGAAAGUGUGGGGAUCAAACAGGAUUAGAAACCCGGGUAGUCC
rnacentral:rRNA from 1 species